UUCACAUAGUUACAACAAGGCUUACAUCUAUUACAAAGCAUAGCGGAAACUACUCUAUAUCUUUUCUUUGGGUCUCCAUACUCCACAGGGACAGCUGACUGGGGUACAUUCGCCUAGUACUCUUGGAACAUCUCAGGGAACUCCGCCUUUGUAUCACCAUCUGGUACCCAUCCGGGAUUUUUGAUUGUUGAAUGUAAAGCAAGUGUGAGCGCACCAUACUCAACAAGUAUAACAUGAGGGGAUGUAAGGCUCAAAAGGCUUGACUUGGUUUGACUGUGAUAAGCAUUUUUAGUUGGUCAUAUUUUAUUAUUAGACCUAUGUUGCUAGGUUACGCUUAAGCUCCCAAGGUGAGAAGUAUAAUUAACAACAACAUUACUCAUCGCCCAAACCAUCCAUAGAACCAUCUAUCUCGAAAAGGAUCCAGGCCGCUCGUGUCCCUGAGCACGGCUGAUAUAUCAGUUUUAAAACACUCUGCAGAGCUUGUACACUUUCACCAUGAAUCGUGUUACCCAUAUGCUCGAGGUGAUCAGCCCCUUGACCCACUUUCAAGGUAAGUUGGCAGGAUUCACUAUGAAGCCUUUUAAAAGUCCCCCUAACAAGUUAGUAGCCGCGAGGUUUCAAUGGCAACUGUGCAUAGGUGUCCUCCUCCAAGAGGCACAUAUGGUCACGGCACUGUACAUACCAAGGUAGGAAAACAACUAUACACCACGAGGCACCCCCCUCUUGCGCCUUUCGGUAACCACUAACAAGUUAGAGAAGUUCAGUUUACUGAGCUAAAGCUAGAGCCAUGUAGCUCUCAUGGCUGUACGGUAAAUCCUGGGUGGCCGCUUUAAGAUUCAGUCCUUACGGAGGGCAGACUAGAGCACCCAAAAAGGCCUAAUGCUCUAGCCCCCUUCUAUCCAUGUUGCUAAAAAGCAUCAUUUUAUCAUUGAUUACAUAAUUCAUUAGUCAAGAUUAACAUUAUAUUGUUUGUUGAUUGCAGACUAAGCAAAACUACCCAUAUGCAUCACCCAAGGUAACAAGGAAUACAAGAUAAAAAAUGUUCUAGGCAAGGUCCUUAGGGGUUCAUCAUAUUAGACACAUGCAUAUGAAAAGGUGAUUAAAUGGUUAUUGGGUAACAAGGGAAACUCAUGUUACACUUGCCUUCCAAAUUCUUGCUAUCCAACUUCUUGAUCAUCCUUGUAGAGCCCCACUUCUAACGUUAACAAUCAAUUGGUACAAGCAUCAUAAGAACCUAAAAACAGUACACCAAGCAUUACAAAAUAUGAUAAAAGUUUUAAACACGCAGAACUUGCAACUAUGAUCAUUGGGCACAAAAACAACUAACAUAAAAUUCAUGAUUAAAAGAUAUAUCAGAUAGAGACUAGAAGGUUCGAUAAAUGAUAGGAUUAGAGUAAACAUGAUGAACAUGGACACAAGAUUUAUGGAGCACAAGGAUCUAUAGAUGAUUUGUUGGUGACUAUGGAUUUGUGAAGAGGAUACAUGGAACAUAUUAUGACUAGUGGCUGCACAGAUGUGAAAUGUUACAUAAAAGGGAAGCACGAUGAUGACGAUUUGCGCACCGGUUGAGCAAACCCAGUGACGGACAGUGGUGGUUAUGAUUACAAAGAACAUGGUCUUAGCAGCACCAAAUUGAGAUCAUUUUUGUGGGCUUGUUGUGGACUGUAUGGAGUAUAUUGUAGCAAAAGAACAAGUUAUUCUAAGUAUUGGAGGACCGGGAAACAUGACUGCAAAAGGACUUGCACUGCUGUCUGCUGGACAGCAGCUGUAGCAGUUACUGUGACGACAAUCGUGGCACCUAUGGACAAACCAACUUGCAGAGGCAUGUGCAAGUUUAUUAUACACAGGUGGGUAAUAGGAUUUGACAAACGGAGUAGUGGAUUUUCGGCAACGCACUCGCCAAUUAGCAGGAACUCUGCUGCGGGGCUGCGGGGACAACAAGCACAAGAUAGAAACAUUUCUCUUUUAUCAUGAAUCCUAUGGCCACGGAAUUUCUCAGAGGCAUGUGCAACAAUAUAAGCCACAUUGUGGUUGAAGGACACGGUUACUGGAGUGAUGGAACAUCGGGAAUAUGCAUGCCAACCGGCAGGAAUGUUGCUGCAGGGCAGCAGGGACAUUGAACAUAAGAAGGACAAUAUCUCUUUCAUCUUGGAUCUUGUGGCCAUGAAAAAUUAUAGAGGUGUGUGCAAAUAUACGAUACAUGUGUGGAUCAAGGGGAUUAUAAAAUGGAGUUGUGGAUUGCCUGGAACAUACAUACCAACCAGCAACUGUGCUGCUGAAAGGAUGCAGGAGAAGCAAGCACAAUUACAUUGAAAUCUUCAGUGUUGUGGCUCGUCUGGCCAAAUAAAUUCUCAGGGGUAUGUUUAAGUAUAGGAUACACAUGUGGAUCAAAGGAAUUGCAAAUUGGAGAUGUGGAUUGCCAGGAACAUGCUUGACAACUAGCAGCAAUGCUGCUGUCCGCGAAGGACAGAAGCACAUACGACUGUAAAUUUUAUGGGAGGUCAACCAAACGUCAUCUAUGGCACAUGAUAUGAAGCGAAGAACAUAAAAAUAGAAUGGCAAAGAUGAUGGAGUGUUCUCACCAAGAGUUGGCAGUAGAGGGAGAUGAAGGUGAUGCUAGCCAACAUCGACAAUGGUGACGACGGUGACAAUGAUCAACAGGACAGCACCACUUUUUCUUCGGUGCUCAUCUACACCACACGAGAGAUCAAGGA
rnacentral:lncRNA from 1 species